GGCCAGACUCCUACGGGAGGCAGCAGUGGGGAAUAUUGCACAAUGGGGGAAACCCUGAUGCAGCGACGCCGCGUGAGUGAAGAAGUAAUUCGUUAUGUAAAGCUCUAUCAGCAGGGAAGAAAAUGACGGUACCUGAGUAAGAAGCCCUGGCUAACUACGUGCCAGCAGCCGCGGUAAUACGUAGGGGGCAAGCGUUAUCCGGAUUUACUGGGUGUAAAGGGAGCGUAGACGGCAGUGCAAGUCUGGAGUGAAAGGCGGGGGCUCAACCCCCGGACUGCUCUGGAAACUGUACGGCUGGAGUGCAGGAGAGGUAAGUGGAAUUCCUAGUGUAGCGGUGAAAUGCGUAGAUAUCAGGAGGAACACCGGCGGCGAAGGCGGCCUGCUGGACCGCGACUGACGUUGAGGCUCGAAAGCGUGGGGAGCAAACAGGAUUAGAUACCCUAGUA
rnacentral:rRNA from 1 species